GACGAACGCUGGCGGCGUGCCUAAUACAUGCAAGUAGAACGCUGAAGAGAGGAGCUCGCUCUUCUUGGAUGAGUUGCGAACGGGUGAGUAACGCGUAGGUAACCUGCCUUGUAGCGGGGGAUAACUAUUGGAAACGAUAGCUAAUACCGCAUAACAAUGGAUGACUCAUGUCAUUUAUUUGAAAGGGGCAAAUGCUCCACUACAAGAUGGACCUGCGUUGUAUUAGCUAGUAGGUGAGGUAACGGCUCACCUAGGCGACGAUACAUAGCCGACCUGAGAGGGUGAUCGGCCACACUGGGACUGAGACACGGCCCAGACUCCUACGGGAGGCAGCAGUAGGGAAUCUUCGGCAAUGGGGGCAACCCUGACCGAGCAACGCCGCGUGAGUGAAGAAGGUUUUCGGAUCGUAAAGCUCUGUUGUAAGUCAAGAACGAGUGUGAGAGUGGAAAGUUCACACUGUGACGGUAGCUUACCAGAAAGGGACGGCUAACUACGUGCCAGCAGCCGCGGUAAUACGUAGGUCCCGAGCGUUGUCCGGAUUUAUUGGGCGUAAAGCGAGCGCAGGCGGUUUGAUAAGUCUGAAGUUAAAGGCUGUGGCUCAACCAUAGUUCGCUUUGGAAACUGUCAAACUUGAGUGCAGAAGGGGAGAGUGGAAUUCCAUGUGUAGCGGUGAAAUGCGUAGAUAUAUGGAGGAACACCGGUGGCGAAAGCGGCUCUCUGGUCUGUAACUGACGCUGAGGCUCGAAAGCGUGGGGAGCGAACAGG
rnacentral:rRNA from 1 species